UACAGAGGGUGCGAGCGUUGUCCGGAAUUAUUGGGCGUAAAGCGCGCGCAGGCGGUCCUUUAAGUCUGAUGUGAAAGCCCACGGCUCAACCGUGGAGGGUCAUUGGAAACUGGGGGACUUGAGUGCAGGAGAGAAGAGUGGAAUUCCACGUGUAGCGGUGAAAUGCGUAGAGAUGUGGAGGAACACCAGUGGCGAAGGCGACUCUUUGGCCUGUAACUGACGCUGAGGCGCGAAAGCGUGUGGAGCAAACAGG
rnacentral:rRNA from 1 species